rnacentral:tRNA from 1 species
CAGAAGACCCCAGCCCACCUGGGGUCUUCCGCGUUUCGCGGGCCCCGUCCCGGCUUGUUCCCCGAACGUGACCGAGAUCGCCGUUGGG